GGGCCCGUGGCGGAACUGGCAGACGCAGCGGACUUAAAAUCCGCUUCCGCGAGAGCGGAGUGAGGGUUCAAGUCCCUCCGGGCCCA
rnacentral:tRNA from 1 species